rnacentral:rRNA from 1 species
UACGUAGGGUGCAAGCGUUUAAUCGGAAUUACUGGGCGUAAAGCGUGCGCAGGCGGUUGUGCAAGACAGAUGUGAAAUCCCCGGGCUUAACCUGGGAAUUGCAUUUGUGACUGCACGGCUAGAGUGUGUCAGAGGGGGGUAGAAUUCCACGUGUAGCAGUGAAAUGCGUAGAUAUGUGGAGGAAUACCGAUGGCGAAGGCAGCCCCCUGGGAUAACACUGACGCUCAUGCAACGAAAGCGUGGGGAGCAAACAGG